rnacentral:rRNA from 1 species
UACGUAGGGUGCAAGCGUUUGUCCGGAAUUAUUUGGGCGUAAAGAGCUCGUAGGCGGUCUGUCACGUCGGCUGUGAAAGCCCGAGGCUUAACCUCGGGUCUGCAGUCGAUACGGGCUAGCUAGAGUGUGGUAGGGGAGAUCGGAAUUCCUGGUGUAGCGGUGAAAUGCGCAGAUAUCAGGAGGAACAUCGGUGGUGUAGACGGCUUUCUGGACCGUAACUGACGCGUGA